rnacentral:rRNA from 1 species
CCUACGGGUGGCAGCAGUGGGGAAUAUUGGGCAAUGGGCGCAAGCCUGACCCAGCAACGCCGCGUGAAGGAAGAAGGCUCUCGGGUUGUAAACCUCCUUUCACAGGGACGAAGAAUGUGACGGUACCUGAGGAAUAAGCCUCGGCGAACUACGUGCCAGCAGCCGCGGUAAUACGUAGGUGGCAAGCGUUAUCCGGAUUUACUGGGUGUAAAGGGCGUGUAGGCGGGAAAGCAAGUCAGAUGUGAAAACCAUGGGCUCAACCUGUGGCCUGCAUUUGAAACUGUUUUUCUUGAGUACUGGGGAGGCAGACGGAAUUCGUAGUGUAGCGGUGAAAUGCGUAGAUAUUAGGAGGAACACCAGUGGCGAAGGCGGUCUGCGGGACAGCAACUGACGCUGAGGCGCGAAGGCGUGGGGAGCGAACAGGAUUAGAUACCCUGGUAGUC